CCUACGGGAGGCAGCAGUCGAGAAUCAUUCACAAUGGGGGAAACCCUGAUGGUGCGACGCCGCGUGGGGGAAUGAAGGUCUUCGGAUUGUAAACCCCUGUCAUGUGGGAGCAAAUUAAAAAGAUAGUACCACAAGAGGAAGAGACGGCUAACUCUGUGCCAGCAGCCGCGGUAAUACAGAGGUCUCAAGCGUUGUUCGGAAUCACUGGGCGUAAAGCGUGCGUAGGCUGUUUCGUAAGUCGUGUGUGAAAGGCGCGGGCUCAACCCGCGGACGGCACAUGAUACUGCGAGGCUAGAGUAAGGGAGGGGGAACCGGAAUUCUCGGUGUAGCAGUGAAAUGCGUAGAUAUCGAGAGGAACACUCGUGGCGAAGGCGGGUUCCUGGACAUUAACUGACGCUGAGGCACGAAGGCCAGGGGAGCGAAAGGGAUUAGAUACCCGAGUAGUC
rnacentral:rRNA from 1 species